AAGUCGUAACAAGGUUUCCGUAGGUGAACCUGCGGAAGGAUCAUUACCAAUCCAAAACUUUAUUACCCCUGUGAACUUGUAACGUCUUUGGGUGAAAGCAGAGACUUAUUUUCAAAGGUUGGGGCUUUUGCCCAAAUCUAGGGAAUGAUGUCUUCAGAUUCACCCAUAUGUUUUACAAACCACUUAAAUUUUGUUGAAAACUAUCUUCUCAGCCUCACGGCUCGAAGAUUAUUUAUAAAACAAAAUACAACUUUUAACGGUGGAUCUCUUGGCUCAU
rnacentral:misc_RNA from 1 species